rnacentral:rRNA from 1 species
CCUACGGGUGGCAGCAGUGGGGAAUAUUGGACAAUGGGCGAAAGCCUGAUCCAGCCAUGCCGCGUGUGUGAAGAAGGCCUUCGGGUUGUAAAGCACUUUCAGUGGGGAAGAAAGCCUUGGGGCUAAUACCCUCGAGGAAGGACAUCACCCACAGAAGAAGCACCGGCUAACUCCGUGCCAGCAGCCGCGGUAAUACGGAGGGUGCGAGCGUUAAUCGGAAUUACUGGGCGUAAAGCGCGCGUAGGCGGUCUGAUAAGCCGGUUGUGAAAGCCCCGGGCUCAACCUGGGAACGGCAUCCGGAACUGUCAGGCUAGAGUGCAGGAGAGGAAGGUAGAAUUCCCGGUGUAGCGGUGAAAUGCGUAGAGAUCGGGAGGAAUACCAGUGGCGAAGGCGGCCUUCUGGACUGACACUGACGCUGAGGUGUGAAAGCGUGGGUAGCAAACAGGAUUAGAUACCCGGGUAGUC